rnacentral:piRNA from 1 species
GGUAAGAACCCUAGAAAGCUGAAUU